GACUCUCGGCACGGAUAUCUCGGCUCUCGCAUCGAUGAGAACGUAGCGAAAUGCGAUACUUGGUGUGAAUUGCAGAAUCCCGUGACCAUCGAGUCUUGAACGCAGUUGCGCCCGAGCCUCUGGUCGAGGGCACGUCUGCCUGGUGUCA
rnacentral:rRNA from 1 species